GACGAACGCUGGCGGCGUGCUUAACACAUGCAAGUCGAACGGAAAGGCACUGCUUGCAGGGUACUAGAGUGGCGAACGGGUGAGUAACACGUGGGUGAUCUGCACUGCACUUCGGGGUAAGCCUGGGAAACUGGGUCUAAUACCGGAUAGGAGCCACUUUUAGUGUGAUGGAUGGAAAGUUUUUUCGGUGUAGGAUGAGCUCGCGGCCUAUCAGCUUGUUGGGGGGGUGAUGGCCUACAAAGGCGGCGACGGGUAGCCGCCCUGAGAGAGUGGGCGGCGACAGUGAGUCUUAGAGGAGGCCCAGACGCCUACUAUAGGCAGCAGGGGGGAAUAUUGCACAAGGGGUGCAGGCCGGAUGCAGAGGCGCUUCGGGUGGGAAAACGGCCUUGGUGUUGUAGACUCCUUGCGCUAGGGACGAAGCUUUUUGCGACGGUACCUAGAUAAGAAGCACCGGCUAACUACGUG
rnacentral:rRNA from 1 species